AAGUUCUGGGCCGCACGCGCGCUACACUGACAGAGCCAACGAGUUCUUCACCUUGGCCGAAAGGUCUGGGUAAUCUUGUUAAACUCUGUCGUGCUGGGGAUAGAGCAUUGCAAUUAUUGCUCUUCAACGAGGAAUGCCUAGUAAGCGCGUGUCAUCAGCAUGCGUUGAUUACGUCCCUGACCUUUGUACACACCGCCCGUCGCUACUACCGAUUGAAUGGCUCAGUGAGGCGUUCGGACUGGCUCGGGGAGGUUGGCAACGACCACCCCAAGCCGGAAAGUUCGUCAAACUCGGUCAUUUAGAGGAAGUAAAAGUCGUAACAAGGUCUCCGUAGGUGAACCUGCGGAGGGAUCAUUACACAAUAACAUAUGAAGGCUGUACGCGGCUGCGCCCUCGGGCCAGUUGGCUGAGGCUGGAGUAUUUAUUACCCUUGUCUUUUGCGCACUUGUUGUUUCCUGGGCGGGUUCGCCCGCCACCAGGACCACAUGAUAAACCUUUUUUUAUGCAGUUGCAAUCAGCGUCAGUACAACAAAUGUAAAUCAUUUACAACUUUCAACAACGGAUCUCUUGGUUCUGGCAUCGAUGAAGAACGCAGCGAAAUGCGAUACGUAGUGUGAAUUGCAGAAUUCAGUGAAUCAUCGAAUCUUUGAACGCACAUUGCGCCCUUUGGUAUUCCAAAGGGCAUGCCUGUUCGAGCGUCAUUUGUACCCUCAAGCUUUGCUUGGUGUUGGGCGUUUUUUGUCUUUGGUCACCAAAGACUCGCCUUAAAAGGAUUGGCAGCCCGGCUACUGGUUUCGCAGCGCAACACAUUUUUUGCGCUUGCAAUCAGCAAAAGAGGACGGCACUCCAUCAGACUCCUUCUUACGUUUGACUCGGAUAGGGAGGGAACCCUGAACUUAGCUAUCAUAACGGAGGAAAAAAACCAACAGGGAUCCCUAUACGGCGGUGACGGGAAACUCAAAUUGAAUUGGUCUUCAAAUCGAAUGAAUUGAA
rnacentral:rRNA from 1 species